GCCGGGCGCGGUGGCUCACGCCUGUAAUCCCAGCACCUUGGGAGGCCGAGGCGGGCGGAUCACCUGAGGUCAGGAGUUCGAGACCAGCCUGGCCAACAUGGUGAAACCCCGUCUCGA
rnacentral:SRP_RNA from 1 species